CGACCGGCGCACGGGUGAGUAACACGUAUGCGACCUGCCCGUAGCAGGGGGAUAAGCGGAAGAAAUUCCGUCUAAUACCGCGUAAUAUCUUUCGGGGGCAUCCCUGAGGGAUUAAAGGAAGCGAUUCCGGCUACGGAUGGGCAUGCGGCGCAUUAGCUAGUCGGCGGGGUAACGGCCCACCGAGGCGACGAUGCGUAGGGGUUCUGAGAGGAAGGUCCCCCACACUGGUACUGAGACACGGACCAGACUCCUACGGAAGGCAGCAG
rnacentral:rRNA from 1 species